UUUGUGAUGUUUAUAUUGAAAAUUAUUAUCAGCCGACAAACAGAACCCAUUGAAUGGGAGAAGACAAUGAAGUUUCAUUAGUUCUUUAUUGUUAUCGGUCCGGGAAAUAAUGCUUAUAUGGAAAAUUGUCCCUUGGGGGUAUUUAAAUAGGCUGACAGAAUAAAUUAACUUUGUUACGACUAUUCACCACGGUAGAAAUUAAUUAUAAUCAUCGCUAAAUGCUGCGAUAUCCUUAUCACUUGUUGAUAUUAAUGUUGAUAUUGUUGAACAUCUUUCGGAGGACAACGCAAAAUCGCAAAAAAAAAAAUAUAUAAAGUGGUGUCACAUAUUAUGUAGUGCAGUUGGCGAAUAUGUUUUCCCCGAGUGGCAGUAACGAAAACAUGUUUUUCCUUGUUGCCAGGCGAAUAAAUGAUGAGGUGUCGUAUAAAAAUAAUAUACAUGUAUAUAAAGCCACUACCCACAAAGUCAUAUUAUUUUUUGGUUACUCGACAUGAGUAAUAAACAAGAGGAAAAAAAUAACACAGUGGAAAACUACACGACAAUUGAAAUGAUAAGUUUGAAAAUAGACCAUAAAAUACAAACUUACGGUGUAGGUUUCAGUUAGAUCGAGACGAUUUGCUUUCAAGGAAAACGCAAAUACGACAUUUGUAUAUUUUGAACAGAUUUCUUGAUGAUUUUUUUUCUUGUCAAACAGCUUUGAUAAACUACGUAUAAUGUACAUGCGAUAUAUGUCGAACAGAUUUAUCGCUGAUUUCUGCGGUUGGCAUCAAAGCGCCAAUUAGAAUUAACCAAAACCAAAAUCAGAAAUGUUGUGAAGUUUUAUCUCUACCAAGGCGAAAGUUAUAACAUUUGGAAAGGAUUUAUCUUCAAUGCGUCAUUAUGGUUGAUUGGUCUACACCAUCAUUGAAGCGAAACAAUCACUGAACAAAACGUGCAAAUCCAAGAUAAACACAAUACGAUGGAAAUCACUAGUCAUAUUUAUUUUUUUUAUUGUUCAUCAUUUUUUGAUGGACGUUAUUCAACCAUUAACAAGUCUCAAAAAUGUGGCUACACAAUUACGUAAAUUUAAAAUUUAAAUUAUCUUUGUUUUAAAUCAAGAUUAUAU